rnacentral:lncRNA from 1 species
GUCUAGCGUGACCUGUUCAGGGUAAUAGCCGGUUCAUACGCUUGGGUUAACUCGUAAACAAAUCUUUUAAUUAAUACGAAGUACAAUUAACGGUUUUAUUAUCCCAUCAAAUUGACGAAAAUAACUUGUUUAUGUAGUAACAACAUAACCACAAAAAAAUAAUAAUGAUAUAAAGAAAUGAAUUAUUACGAGCAAUAUCUCAGAAUUAUCUUUCGUAUUGAAGAUAUCUGAUCAUUUUCUUCUAUAUUCAACGGCAAAAUUCCCAAAAUGGCUCAAAUCUUGAGAUUAUGGAUUUUCAUCUAAAAUUUCAUUAAUUCACACAAAGGACGGCUGUUUUCCAUUCUUACUAUGCUAAGAUUAUCAUUUUCAAUAGCUUCAACCGGAUAAAUAAGGAUUUGAAUAAGAAAUUGAGAAAAGAAUGAAAUUGAGGUUAUCUAUCUGUCAGGGGGUAUUUAAAAUUACUUCAUAUCGACUUUACAUGGGUUAUAUACAAUAAAAAACAGCAACGGCCAAUAAUACAUAACGGAAUUUAUCAGUAAAUAAUAUUUUAUAUUACAAUAAAUAAAUUUAUAAUCAUUCAUAACAUUCUCUUACAUUCAAUGCGAUAAGUCUUUAAAUCUUCAAAAUAAUGUUUUAUUAUGAUUAUAAUCAAUCAUAAUUACAUAACUACAUCAUCCUCCGUGCAAGACCAAAUUGUCCAAAGUGGCUGGAAAAUGGUGUACCUAAAUAAACUGGAAACUUCGACCUUAAAAUAUAACGGCAACGAUAUGAACGCCAUAAACUACAUCAUGGAAACAGGGAUAAAUCAAUUCAUCAUCAUGGUUUGCGAUGUAUGGACAUGUUCUGUACGUCCAUUAUAAUUAGCCUCCUUUUCGACUGAGACAUCUUUUCACUGUGAAAAAUGAGAGAAAAAGUGUUACUUACCACCAUCCACACCACCUUGUUGAAAAUCGUCUUUAUGGCGUACCAUAGUCCUAAACUUCGUAACAUUUCGUCAGCCAACCCUGUUUAGUAAUAGUGAAAAAACGCCUAGACGAAUCAGGAGUAGAUGAUGGAGCUGAGGUCGAGGUCAAAGCUGCUGACGCUCCUCAUGCUUCCUUAGCAAAAAGAAUAUAAUCAUUAAUUUCUUUAUUUAUGAAAAUAAGAUGAUAAUGAGAUAUCAAAUUAAAGCUGAAGAUGUCUUUUUAAUAAAAUGCAUAAUACUAUUAAAAAAGUAUGCAGGGUGUUAGGUAAACAUGCGGAAAAAAUUCUAGGGGUUAUUCAGUAGCCUAUUCUGAGAAUAUUUUGUCAUACGAUAAUUUUUGAAAAACCCCUUUGUUUCAUUUUAUUAUCAAAAAGUACAUAUAAAGUUACUUAAUCUACAAUAAAUGUUCGAAAUGACUUCCUCCAGCCUGAAUAUAAGCAUUCAAUGUUCUCGUCAUUGAUUGCCGAACUCUUUCAAACACACCAGGGUCGUUUAUAAUUGAGUUACACCCAGCAAUUAUUCGAUUUCGCAAAUUGUCCAAAUUCUCCACUGGAAUAUCGUAAACUAAUGACUUCAGAGAUCCUCAGAAAAAAUAACCCAGGGGGUUUAAGUCUGGGGAUCGAGCAGGCCAUGCGUGUGGCCCACCAUGGUGUGGUGAUGCACCAUCGUGCAUAAACCACAUUGCAAUUCUUGUCACGUAUGAUACAUCCUCGAGAAACUCAGGUAGCGUUUCUGCCAAAAAGUUGCGAUACACCACGCCAGCAAGCCUUCCUGAUAGAAAUACCGGUCCAAUUAGAUAUUCAACCACAAUUCCAACCCAAACAUUCAAGGAGAAUUGAUGUUGCAAAUGAUCUUCACAUACCUCAUGCGGAUUUUUAUCUGCCCACAUAUGAUUAUUAUGAAAAUUCUUUAUUGCAUUUCUUGAGAAACUGGCUUCAUCGGUAAAAAGAAUCUGUGUUAGGAAUAGAGAGAUGCGAACUAAUGUUUGCAAUAUCCAUUGACAUAAUGUAAUACGUGGAGGAGAAUCAGCAGAUAGUAGUGCUUGAAGGCGUUGAAUGUGGUAUGGAUACAACAAAUUGUUCAAUGAUUUACAUUCAAAGUAUUUGCAAUUCAGGAUACCAGGAUCUUCCUCUAUCAUGUCCAGCAUAUUCUGUUCUAAUUGUAUCGUUCUUGCAUUCAUUGAUCUUCCUAGCCCUCCACUUCGUUUUAAUGAGCCUGUUUCACGAAGACGUCAAUGAAUGUUUUCGAAGAUUUUUCGGUCGGGGACAUUACGGGCAGGAAAUCGUUGGAUAUACAAUCGUCUAGCUUCUGAGGAGCAAGUCUAUACAUGAAAUGCAUGUCAUUCAUCUUGG